UACGAAGGGGGCUAGCGUUGCUCGGAAUCACUGGGCGUAAAGCGCACGUAGGCGGCUUCUUAAGUCAGGGGUGAAAUCCUGGAGCUCAACUCCAGAACUGCCUUUGAUACUGGGAGGCUCGAGUCCGGGAGAGGUGAGUGGAACUGCGAGUGUAGAGGUGGAAUUCGUAGAUAUUCGCAAGAACACCAGUGGCGAAGGCGGCUCACUGGCCCGGUACUGACGCUGAGGUGCGAAAGCGUGGGGAGCAAACAGG
rnacentral:rRNA from 1 species